rnacentral:rRNA from 1 species
AAAUUGAAGAGUUUGAUCAUGGCUCAGAUUGAACGCUGGCGGCAGGCCUAACACAUGCAAGUCGAACGGUAACAGGAAGCAGCUUGCUGCUUCGCUGACGAGUGGCGGACGGGUGAGUAAUGUCUGGGAAACUGCCUGAUGGAGGGGGAUAACUACUGGAAACGGUAGCUAAUACCGCAUAAUGUCGCAAGACCAAAGAGGGGGACCUUCGGGCCUCUUGCCAUCGGAUGUGCCCAGAUGGGAUUAGCUUGUUGGUGGGGUAACGGCUCACCAAGGCGACGAUCCCUAGCUGGUCUGAGAGGAUGACCAGCCACACUGGAACUGAGACACGGUCCAGACUCCUACGGGAGGCAGCAGUGGGGAAUAUUGCA